UUUUUUUUUUUUUUUUUUUUAAACGCUGUUGGAAAUCUCGCGAUGGAGGGAGGAGGAGGUAUACCCCUAGAAACACUUAAAGAAGAAAGUCAGUCAAGACAUGUUCUACCUGCAAAUUUUGAAGUCAACAGUUUGCAGAAAAGCAACUGGGGGUUCUUACUUACUGGGCUUGUGGGUGGGACCCUGGUGGCUGUGUACGCUGUAGCCACGCCGUUUGUAACGCCAGCCCUUCGAAAAGUCUGUUUGCCGUUUGUACCUGCAACUACGAAGCAGAUUGAAAAUGUUGUGAAAAUGUUGCGAUGCCGAAGAGGAUCCCUUGUGGACAUCGGUAGUGGGGACGGACGCAUUGUCAUAGCGGCUGCGAAGAAAGGGUUCACAGCAGUUGGUUAUGAAUUAAACCCAUGGCUAGUUUGGUAUUCCAGAUACCGCGCUUGGCGAGAAGGUGUGCAUGGAUCUGCCAAAUUUUAUAUUUCAGAUUUGUGGAAGAUGCUGCAGUUGGAGAAGAAACUUGAACGUGAACUUGAGGAUGAUGCACGAGUUAUUGCUUGCCGGUUCCCUUUCCCACACUGGACUCCAGACCACGUCACGGGGGAGGGGAUAGACACAGUGUGGGCAUAUGAUGCAAGCACUUUUAGAGGCCGUGAAAAGAGGCCCUGUACGUCGAUGCAUUUCCAGCUGCCCAUUCAAGCAUAAACUUUACUGGGAGUGUUUUUCUGAAAUGUUGUAGUCUUCCCUGAUCUUGUAGAGACUUACAGCUGUGUCCUUAGCAAAGGAGCAUAAUUGUCUUUGGUUUGGAAUGAGAAAUUACUAUUACUUUCCUUAACUGCUGGAGAAAACAAACGAAGAAAAACAGGCUCAUAGGUGGAAGGGAUUGCCUUGUCUUGGAUGAGACUUUGGACUGUGGACUUUUGAGUUAAUGCUGAAAUGAGAUAAGACUGUGGAGGACUGUUGGGAAGGUAUGAUUGGUUUUGAAAUGUGAGGACAUGAGAUUUGGGAGGGGCCAGGGAUGGAAUGGUAUGGUUUGGCUGUGUCCCCACCCAAAUCUCAUCUUGAAUUCCCAUGUGUUGUGGGAGGGACCCAGUGGGAGGUAAUUGGAUUAUGGGGGCAGGUCUUUCCCAUGCUGUUCUUAUGAUAGUAAGUCUCACGAGAUCUGAUGGUUAUUUUAUGGGGGAGUUUCCUGCACAAGCUCUUUCUGCCUGCCGCCAUGCACGUAAGAUGUGACUUGCCCCUCCUUGCCUUCUGCUAUGAUUGUGAGGCUUCCCCAGCCAUGUGGAACUGUAAGUCCAAUUAAACCCCUUUAUUUUGUAAAUUGGCCAGUCUCAGGUAUAUCUUUAUCAGCAGCGUGGCAACAGACUAAUACAGGCAUCAAGCUAUGUGCAGAGUUAUUAAUAACUUAGCAUUUUUGUUUUUAAUUAAGUUAUUAAUAACUUAGCAUUUAGUUUCACAAGAAUUAGAUGAUGCUUGUCUCUCAACCUCAAACGGGCUGUUUCAUAGAAGUGUUGUGAUUUGGAGUCUGCAGGAUCUUUAAUUGCUUUUUGAAAUUGUGGCUUGUUAAGUAAACUGUACAGUAAGGAUUUUCCUGCAGAGGUUAGUGUGGCUUCUCUGAUUUAAAUUUUUAUCAGUUAUUAGGUUAAGGACAUCGAUCAAAUUUGUACAUGACAUGAAUCAGGGAAUGAGAGCUCCUGUGUUGGCUGUCAAAAAUAGGAUUUAUAAAUGCAGGUACAGAUUGAAAUCAGGGGCCAAUGCUAACUUGAUAAGAUUGAAAACAAAAGAAGUAUAGUUUAGGGGUGAUGUAGCCUAACAGGACCUGUGAUAAACAGACAUGGGGGUUUCCAUGAACACUUGGGCUGAUGACUUAAGCAAUCUCCCAUCUGAAUGCAUCUUCCUCCAAAAGCAUGACCCCCAGGAAUGCAACCCUGUGUUCCCCAGGUGUCUCAGGUGGCUCCUCAGACCCUCGGUUAGUUCUGGUGUUCAGACUCCCUCAGAUGCUUAGCUCCAUUAAGUGCAGGAGAGAGCAAGUUCAAAAGAGUUAAGAAAUGAGACUUUCUUCCAGAUACACUGUGUUCGUCAUUGCUGGGAGAUGGUAUGCACAACAUACAUUACAGCUCAACAGAAUAGAAGAAAUGCAAGAUUUUUGACAUUUAAGCCAUGCAGCUGGAUUCCAUUCCCCUCCCAAAGUACUUUCUCUGGUGGCCAAAGGUGUUAAAGACCUGGCUGUGAAGAAAUAAGUGUUCUGAAGUCCAGGAGUCUUCUGAGCUUGUGCUGUUGCAUUUAUUUCUUAGCUUAUCACUGGCUGAGCACAUUCUGGGAAAAACUGUAGUCAUUGCAGUGCAUACUUCAGGAGUCUACUUAAGUCAGCAAACAGAAGAACAAGAAGUACCCUUGGGGCCCUAUGUGCCUUGGUGUGACCAGCCUUUCAUUAAGAUGCCUGAAGUCAUCUGGACCAUGGAGCUGUUCUCACCUGGCUGUGCAGUAACAUCUGUAGGCCUCUGACCCAGCUCGCCUGUCCUGGAGCAGGGACACUAGGGGGCUGGGAAGGCAGUGUGCAGACACUGCCUGCCUCCUACCCCCGCCUCUUUGUCUUGCCAGCAGAGCCCUCCGUUUCUCAGGUGUCAGGAUCAAUGUGCUCAGUGAAGAGAGGCCCUAUCAAUUACCCAAUUCCAUUCCCCUUUGCCAUGGCUGUUAGGGUGGGCUUUGGGCAUGUGACCUGGUUCCUGCCAAUGAGAUUUGAGGGGAAGUCUGCUUGGAGCUUUGGGAAAGGCUUUUGUUGCUAAUAGAAGGUGUUACAUGAGGAGCAAGCAUCCUUCCUGUUUUUGGACAUGCUAUGUAGGACGGUAAUGCCUGGAGCUUUGGCAGCCACUCUGUAACCAUGGGGGGAAAAGUGAAGAUGGAAGCCAAGAUCCCGAGGCUGUUGGAGCAGACAGACGGAACGACCCUGGGUCUUGGGUAUGCUGCUGAGCUGCUGCAUUGACCCUGAGCCUCGUACUGCAAGACAUCUUGUUAUGUGAAGUAAUAAGCCCAUGUUUUGUGCUGCUUUGA